rnacentral:rRNA from 1 species
GACGAACGCUGGCGGCGUGCUUAACACAUGCAAGUCGAACGGAAAGGCCCUGCUUUUGUGGGGUGCUCGAGUGGCGAACGGGUGAGUAACACGUGAGUAACCUGCCCUUGACUUUGGGAUAACUUCAGGAAACUGGGGCUAAUACCGGAUAGGAGCUCCUGCUGCAUGGUGGGGGUUGGAAAGUUUCGGCGGUUGGGGAUGGACUCGCGGCUUAUCAGCUUGUUGGUGGGGUAGUGGCUUACCAAGGCUUUGACGGGUAGCCGGCCUGAGAGGGUGACCGGCCACAUUGGGACUGAGAUACGGCCCAGACUCCUACGGGAGGCAGCAGUGGGGAAUAUUGCACAAUGGGCGGAAGCCUGAUGCAGCAACGCCGCGUGCGGGAUGACGGUCUUCGGGUUGUAAACCGCUUUCGCCUGUGACGAAGCGUGAGGGACGGUAAUGGGUAAAGAAGCACCGGCGAACUACGU